GACGAACGCUGGCGGCGUGCUUAACACAUGCAAGUCGAACGGGCCCGCCCCUGUUUUUGGGGGUGGGUUGAGUGGCGAACGGGUGAGUAUCACGUGAGUAACCUGCCCCCUGCUCCUGGAUAACUGCUUGAAAGGGCGGCUAAUACGGGGUGUGCCGGCUGGUCCGCAUGGGCCUGGUCGGGAUAGUUUCAUCUUCGGGUGUUUCGGUGGGGGAUGGGCUCGCGGCCUAUCAGCUUGUUGGUGGGGUGAUGGCCCACCAAGGCGGUGACGGGUAGCCGGCCUGGGAGGGUGGGCGGCCACACUGGGACUGAGACACGGCCCAGACUCCUGCGGGAGGCGGCAGUGGGGGGUAUUGCACAAUGGGCGGAAGCCUGAUGCAGCGACGUCGCGUGAGGGAUGGAGGCCUUCGGGUUGUGAACCUCUUUCUCCGGUGGUGAAGGCCCUGUCCGUUGCGGCGGGGUUGACGGUAGCCGGGUAUGAAGCGCCGGCUAACUACGUG
rnacentral:rRNA from 1 species